rnacentral:rRNA from 1 species
UACGAAGGGGGCUAGCGUUGCUCGGAAUCACUGGGCGUAAAGGGUGCGUAGGCGGGUCUUUAAGUCAGGGGUGAAAUCCUGGAGCUCAACUCCAGAACUGCCUUUGAUACUGAGGAUCUUGAGUUCGGGAGAGGUGAGUGGAACUGCGAGUGUAGAGGUGAAAUUCGUAGAUAUCGGGAGGAACACCGGUGGCGAAGGCGGUGAUCUGGGUCGAUACUGACGCUGAGGUGCGAAAGCGUGGGGAGCAAACAGG